AGUGAACGCUGGCGGUAGGCCUAACACAUGCAAGUCGAACGGCAGCACAGUAAGAGCUUGCUCUUACGGGUGGCGAGUGGCGGACGGGUGAGGAAUACAUCGGAAUCUACUUUUUCGUGGGGGAUAACGUAGGGAAACUUACGCUAAUACCGCAUACGACCUACGGGUGGAAGCAGGGGAUCUUCGGACCUUGCGCGAUUGAAUGAGCCGAUGUCGGAUUAGCUAGUUGGCGGGGUAAAGGCCCACCAAGGCGACGAUCCGUAGCUGGUCUGAGAGGAUGAUCAGCCACACUGGAACUGAGACACGGUCCAGACUCCUACGGGAGGCAGCAGUGGGGAAUAUUGGAUAAUGGGCGCAAGCCUGAUCCAGCCAUACCGCGUGGGUGAAGAAGGCCUUCGGGUUGUAAAGCCCUUUUGUUGGGAAAGAAAAGCAGCAGGUUAAUACCCCGCUGUUCUGACGGUACCCAAAGAAUAAGCACCGGCUAACUUCGUG
rnacentral:rRNA from 1 species